rnacentral:lncRNA from 1 species
GUUAGGAUAGGUUCAAAAAUAGUAAGGAUAAGUCCGAUUUUAGGAUAAGAGCCUAGGAAGAGAUAUAAGGAAGAUAAGGAGAGAAGAAAGGUAGGGAUAGGAAGGCUAGGAGAAGAGGAAGAAGGUCUUGAGAUCUUACUGUCUAAAAAAAUUCUCAGAGUGAGAAUUUUAGAGGAAAAAUCAUCUUAAGGAGUUGGUGUGCUGAUCAUAGCCCUGUGUGGAUUAU